UCGCUCACCUGCUGCUUGCCUGCCCCUCACCUCAGCCGCCUCAGCCAGCAGCCGAUUCCACAUCGCAGCCCACCUGGAAUUCACCACAGGACUUCUACUGAUUAUUUCCCUGCAUAUAUUUUGGGCCACAGACAUUAAGACUGAGGACUAUUCCACUAUUUGGUAUCUGGAGAGACGCCUGCAAGAAUGGGCAAAGAAGUAGGAAGCUCAAAUCAUCCUACAUCAAAGCUGUCCCAAGAAAGAAAGCAUGAAAGGAAUUUCGCCAGCUUAAGCUAGCAAAUGCAUUGCUCCUCAACCAAGUCACCAAUCUUGCUGUGAUGUUCCUGGGGAGACCCCUAAGACAAGCAGGCAACAGCUCACAUCUCCACAGCUACAACCUUCUCUAACGACAGGCUCUGCUCUUUGUGAACCUCUCCUGCCAUAUGCAACCCAACCACCUUUUUCUUCUCUGCAGCACAGAUUUGAAGGUGAACUCGCACACUCUUUGCAUUCAGCUUUCUCACACAAAUGACACUUUACUGCCUCAUUUCAGUUUUGGUAGGUUUUAAUGGUACAUAAAUGAACUAAUUUGCACAUUGUAGUAUUUCAAGGCAUAAGAAAUGAUACCACAGAUGCUGAAAAUUAAGUAUUUUCCAUGAGCUAAUAAAGAUGAUGCUAUCUUAAGGAACUAGUGAAAUGCCUCACAUGCCAGUAAAGGAGCCAUUAAUUACAUAGUGCUACAUAUCUCAAGGACACUGGAUUCAUUUUUAAACGGCACAUUUUAAUGUCCACGUGCUGUUCUUUGAUUUAUACAAAAAAACACUGUCAUAAAUAUGGAGAUAGUCAGCAGUUCCCCUUAGAGGUGGUGAAGAGAGCUGUCCACACACACCACACCAGCUUAUUUUGCCUGAUUACACCACCUACUAGAUUUCCUUACAGGCCGGGGCUUGUGGCCAUUUCUUAACUUUGUUGAUAAACAGUUUCUAAGAAAAGCUCACAGUUGGUGUCAAACAGGACAAGGACAGAUUCUAGGGAGACCAAACAGGCUUCUGUUACAGAGCAAAGAAUCCUGAGGCACUGCUGCUGAGAUGAACAUCAGCAAGCAGCAUGUCAGACUAGCCUAAAAAAUAGAUGUUUUUAGCUUUACAGCUGAUUUCCAAAUUUAAAGCAAAAUGACUCAGUUUCAGUCCCAAAACUUUGCAAUAUAAACAAGUGUAAAGAUAAUUUUAGGUCAAGUAUCAGAUUUUAUUUUGUUAAUAAGCUAAGGCUGACUGAAUAAAAGAAAAUGGAAAAGGC